AGUGGCCUAUCCACUAGAGUUUGGAUUCUUCUUUUGCCUCAACCCUACGAGUUUUGUCCUUUUUACUAGUCUAUGGAUCCACCAGAUUUUGGCUCGUUAUGACAUUGCCCACUAUGCUUUUCGGGUCUCAAAAUAUGACCUGCUUUGAUACCAUAUGAAAUUUAGAAAGAGUGUUGGGCAUUAAUUCAUUUUCAACACGGACAUAUAUAAGUGAUUGAGUUGUUUAUACACUAAAAUGACUAGUAAAUUUAAU
rnacentral:misc_RNA from 1 species